AACGAACGCUGGCGGCAUGCCUAACACAUGCAAGUCGAACGGGAUCCUAGCUUGCUAGGUGAGAGUGGCGGACGGGUGAGUAACACGUGGGAAUCUGCCUUUUGGUUCGGGAUAACCGCGGGAAACUGCGGCUAAUACCGAAUGCCCUCGAGAGAGGAAAGAUUUAUCGCCAGAAGAGGAGCCCGCGUCCGAUUAGGUAGUUGGUGGGGUAAAGGCCUACCAAGCCGACGAUCGGUAGCUGGUCUGAGAGGAUGAUCAGCCACACUGGGACUGAGAUACGGCCCAGACUCCUACGGGAGGCAGCAGUGGGAAUAUUGGACAAUGGGGGCAACCCUGAUCCAGCAAUGCCGCGUGAGUGAUGAAGGCCUUAGGGUUGUAAAGCUCUUUUGCCAGGGAAGAUGAUGACUGUACCUGGAGAAUAAGCCCCGGCUAACUUCGUGCCAGCAGCCGCGGUAAU
rnacentral:rRNA from 1 species